rnacentral:lncRNA from 1 species
UUAAACCAAAUCCACUAUCUCAUUAUUAACUAGGCUUGGGGUUUGUUUGGUUUCACGUAAAAUUGUGAAAAGUAAUUUUCGAUGGAAAAAAAAUUUUCUGAGGAAAAUAAAUUUUACACUUUUUAGCGUUUAGUUUGUAGGAAAAAAAAAAGUUUUUCAUAUGGUUAUUUAGAUGAAAGGAAAAGAAAGGAAAAAUAAAUAGAAAAUCAUUAUAUGUAUUUUAUCAUAUUAUAUAU